ACGGGUGAGUAACGCGUGGGAACAUACCCUUUCCUGCGGAAUAGCUCCGGGAAACUGGAAUUAAUACCGCAUACGCCCUACGGGGGAAAGAUUUAUCGGGGAAGGAUUGGCCCGCGUUGGAUUAGCUAGUUGGUGGGGUAAAGGCCUACCAAGGCGACGAUCCAUAGCUGGUCUGAGAGGAUGAUCAGCCACAUUGGGACUGAGACACGGCCCAAACUCCUACGGGAGGCAGCAGUGGGGAAUAUUGGACAAUGGGCGCAAGCCUGAUCCAGCCAUGCCGCGUGAGUGAUGAAGGCCUUAGGGUUGUAAAGCUCUUUCACCGAUGAAGAUAAUGACGGUAGUCGGAGAAGAAGCCCCGGCUAACUUCGUGCCAGCAGCCGCGGUAAUACGAAGGGGGCUAGCGUUGUUCGGAAUUACUGGGCGUAAAGCGCACGUAGGCGGAUAUUUAAGUCAGGGGUGAAAUCCCGCAGCUCAACUGCGGAACUGCCUUUGAUACUGGGUAUCUUGAGUAUGGAAGAGGUAAGUGGAAUUCCGAGUGUAGAGGUGAAAUUCGUAGA
rnacentral:rRNA from 2 species